GGCUUAUAAAGAAAGAUGGAGGGAACUGACCCUGUGAAGUCUUAACAACCUGCGUUAUGUAAGGUGUUACAUUCAGCCUUUUAAAGGGAAAAUAAGCA
rnacentral:ncRNA from 1 species